AUGCAAGACUACUUCGCGGAGAAUCCAACAUAUCCACCGCACCUCUUCCGGAGAAGGUAUCGAAUGCGCCGAUCCCUCUUUGUGAAAAUUGUUCAAGCUUGCGAGGCAAAUUGUCGGUAUUUUACUUAAAGAAGAAAUGCUGCGGGCUUAAAGGGAUUUAGUGCAUAUCAAAAAAUCUUGUUGAUGGGCAUGAAUACAUGA
rnacentral:rRNA from 1 species